rnacentral:lncRNA from 1 species
AUAUUAACAAAAUGAUAGAAGAAGCCAGAGCGGAAUGUGACUUACCGGUACCGUAGUGUGGAGACUAGUUACGUGCCAGACUCUGGAUCGAUGCCUGGAGAUCGUGCAGAGUAGGCUACCUCCGUUCAUGCAAGUCCAUACAGAGUAACGACAAUUGACACCGACAGAUAUCGAUACUAUCGGUAAACGUGUUCAGAAACCUAUCUAUCUUGACUCCGCGUUGAAUCGGUCCAGGCAGCCAUGCGGGGCCGACGACAACCGAGUCUUUUGUCCGGCCAGAUGCAUACAUACACUAUCAUCGAUGUAUCUUGAACGUCUAUACGGAAUGUUGAAGGUAUUGAUUGAUACAUGACAUGACACUUCGGUUUCCGUUAUUAUACAUACCAAUUGAUCGACUCUGCGAUAAUUGUAACUGCCUACCUAGAACGCAGUUGCACAGACUAUUUGACAGUCCCAAUGAGGGUUAUCAACUCAACUAGUCCGCGCUCUGACCCUCAUACUUAACCUGCUACAUCCAGUUUGACCGAGAUUCAUGGAUUGAAUUUUCUACUCAAUCUGUAAAUUAUCACUACAAAGCGCCACCACCAUCUCAACUGCCGUCCCCAAUUGAUGGAAUGCUACGUUUUGACCUCUGCGCCGGUCCCCUGCGCCGACAUCAAUCGAUUCAAAAUCUAUUACGAUACAUGUAUUAUCUAGAAGUCCAAGCUACAUACGUCAACCCGAUCGCAAAAGCAACGUAAAACGAUUUCGUCUUGGUUUCGCUACUAUUACUCGUUUGCCUUGGAUGAUGCCUUUCAUUCCAAAUAUGCUUAGAUAAGACAUAAUCGUGUCUGCCUCAGUCUAAAUUAAGGACGAUAUACUGAAAGAUGUAGUUGUUUCAAUCUCAAUGUCUAAAAUCUUGACGCCUGAAGGCAUCAUCAACUCACCUAAAUAGGUAGUUAGUUAUUAUCUUAAUAUACUAUUUGAACUUUAACAGAAAUUAAAAUGAAUGUUCUCCACAGUUUCAAGGUG